UACGAAGGGGACUAGCGUUGUUCGGAAUUACUGGGCGUAAAGCGCGCGUAGGCGGAUCGCUAAGUCAGGGGUGAAAUCCCAGGGCUCAACCCUGGAACUGCCUUUGAUACUGACGAUCUGGAGAUCGGGAGAGGUUGGUGGAAUUCCGAGUGUAGAGGUGAAAUUCGUAGAUAUUUCGGAGGAACACCAGAAGCGAAAGGCGGCCAACUGGCCCGAUACUGACGCUGAGGCGCGAAAAGCGUGGGGGAGCAAAACAGG
rnacentral:rRNA from 1 species